CCUACGGGGGGCAGCAGUGAGGAAUAUUGGUCAAUGGGCGCGAGCCUGAUCCAGCCAAGUAGCGUGAAGGAUGACUGCCCUACGGGUUGUAAACUUCUUUUGUAAAGGAAUAAAGUGAGGCACGUGUGCCUUUUUGUAUGUACUUUAUGAAUGAGGAUCGGCUAACUCCGUGCCAGCAGCCGCGGUAAUACGGAGGAUCCGAGCGUUAUCCGGAUUUAUUGGGUUUAAAGGGAGCGUAGAUGGGUUGUUAAGUCAGUUGUGAAAGUUGGCGGCUCAACCGUAAAAUUGCAAUUGAUACUGGCAGUCUUGAGUACAGUUGAGGUAGGCGGAAUUCGUGGUGUAGCGGUGAAAUGCUUAGAUAUUACGAAGAACUCCGAUUGCGAAGGCAGCUUACUAAACUGUCACUGACAUUGAUGCUCGAAAGUGUGGGUUUCAAACAGGAUUAGAUACCCUUGUAGUC
rnacentral:rRNA from 1 species